ensembl:snRNA U6 U6 spliceosomal RNA
UCACUUCCGCAGUGCAUAUACUAAAAAUUGGGAUGAUACAGGGAUUAGCAUGGCCCUGUGCAAGGAUGACACACAAAUUCGUGAAGCAUUCCAUAUGUUU